rnacentral:rRNA from 1 species
UACGGGGGGGGCAAGCGUUGUUCGGAAUUACUGGGCGUAAAGGGCUCGUAGGCGGCCAACUAAGUCAGACGUGAAAUCCCUCGGCUUAACCGGGGAACUGCGUCUGAUACUGGAUGGCUUGAGUUCGGGAGAGGGAUGCGGAAUUCCAGGUGUAGCGGUGAAAUGCGUAGAUAUCUGGAGGAACAUCGAUGGCGAAGGCAAUCGCCUGGGCCUGGACUGACACUGUGACACGAAAGCGUGGGUAGCAAACAGG